rnacentral:rRNA from 1 species
UGGGUCACCUACCUUUCAGUGAGGAAUACCGGCGAGAAAUCGCCGACAAGACCGCAUAGGCUCUCUUGGCAACGAGAGAGCAAAGUCCUUUCGCAAGAGAGGAUGCUGGAAGAUGGGCCUGUGGCCGAUUAGCUGGUUGGUAGGGUAAUGGCUUACCAAGGCUUCGAUCGGUAACUGGUCUGAGAGGACGAUCAGCCACACUGGGAUUGAGAACGGCCCAG